rnacentral:ncRNA from 2 species
AAAUGAACACGCGGGGGCUCUCACGAACCGAGGGCUGAGAUGGCGACAGGACGGUCGCCGACCGCCGGAACCUGUCCGGAUAAUGCCGGCGUAGGGAGUUGAAAUUAUGGGCAC